rnacentral:rRNA from 1 species
GACGAACGCUGGCGGCGUGCCUAAUACAUGCAAGUCGAGCGAGGCGGCGGAUGGGUGAGUAACGCGUGGGUAACCUGGCCUUAAGUCUGGGAUACUAGUUGGAACCAGAUACUAAUACCGGAUCCUAAAGUAUGAGCCUGCGAUGCAUUAGCUAGUUGGUAAGGUAACGGCUUACCAAGGGGAUGAUGCAUAGCGGAGUGGAGAGACUGAUCGGCCACACUGGAACUGAGACACGGCCCAAACUCCUACGGGAGGCAGCAGUAGGGAAUCUUCCACAAUGGACGAAAGUCUGAUGGAGCAACGCCGCGUGAGUGAAGAAGGUUUUCGGAUCGUAAAGUUCUGUUGUUGGGGAAGCGUUAAUCAACCAGAAAGUCACGGCUAACUACGUGCCAGCAGCCGCGGUAAUAC